rnacentral:rRNA from 1 species
UACGUAGGGCGCAAGCGUUAUCCGGAAUUAUUGGGCGUAAAGAGCUCGUAGGCGGCUAGUCGCGUCGGCUGUGAAAACCUGGGGCUCAACCCCGGGCCUGCAGACGAUACGGGCUAGCUAGAAUUCGGUAGGGGAGACUGGAAUUCCUGGUGUAGCGGUGAAAUGCGCAGAUAUCAGGAGGAGCACCGGUGGCGAAGGCGGGUCUCUGGGCCGAUAUUGACGCUGAGGAGCGAAAGCGUGGGGAGCGAACAGG